rnacentral:rRNA from 1 species
UUGUACUGUGAAACUGCGAAUGGCUCAUUAAAUCAGUUAUCGUUUAUUUGAUAGUACCUUACUACAUGGAUACCUGUGGUAAUUCUAGAGCUAAUACAUGCUAAAAACCCCGACUUCAGGAAGGGGUGUAUUUAUUAGAUAAAAAACCAACGCCCUUCGGGGCUCCUUGGUGAAUCAUAAUAACUUAACGAAUCGCAUGGCCUUGCGCCGGCGAUGGUUCAUUCAAAUUUCUGCCCUAUCAACUUUCGAUGGUAGGAUAGUGGCCUACCAUGGUGGCAACGGGUAACGGGGAAUUAGGGUUCGAUUCCGGAGAGGGAGCCUGAGAAACGGCUACCACAUCCAAGGAAGGCAGCAGGCGCGCAAAUUACCCAAUCCCGAUACGGGGAGGUAGUGACAAUAAAUACUGAUACGGGGCUCUUUUGGGUCUCGUAAUUGGAAUGAGAACAAUUUAAAUCCCUUAACGAGGAACAAUUGGAGGGCAAGUCUGGUGC